ACACUCUGUAGCUGAAUAUUGUUGUUUGUUUAAGUGCAGUGUGAUUAGCUGUCCUUGAAAAUAUCAUCUGUGGCAGUCUGAUUGUGUAGCCGAGCACGAGGAGUUGAAGGAUGCAAGAACAUCCUUUACACCCACCAGGUAUACUUACAGAGUCUGCAGCAGGUAUAGCAUUUCAGGCUUUGAUUUGGGAAAAUAUUCCUAAGAAAGACGACUCAGAUAGAUACAUCUAGUUAAAAAACACUGGCCUAAGGAGAUGUAUGAGUUCGUGUCUUGAGAUUUGCAUAAAAACAUGUUUAAGUGUGUACAUUUUCUUGAAUAAUGGCCUUAGAUUUAUUCCCACUAAAGUCCAGCAGCUAAACCAAUGUUAGACACCUACACUUGGGAGGCCUAGUAAUCCCUUUAAUAAUUUGAGUCUGCCCAUGAAAUAGGUUAUUCAAACUGCUUGAAACAUUGCAUGACUUAGAUUUCUUUAAAACUGUAGAACCCCCAGAGUUUCCAACAUGAACAUCCUUUCAGUUACAAAAUAGGAAUUAAUUUGUUUACACAAAAUUUAAAAUUGAAGUUUUACAGAUUUGAACGCAGGAGAUGCUUUUCUAUAGGUGAAACUUCUGAGAGGUCAAUAAGCCACUUGCUCUACGUGGGAAUCUAGAUUUUUAAAAUGUUUUUUUUUUUAAUGUAAUUACAUGACCCACAAUAUCUAUUCAAAUAUUAACAACAUGGUUCUUCUGUAACAUUACUGACUUUUUAUUUGUAAAAAAUGAAAGAAGUUCAAUGCAGCCUGGAAGAUUUCAGGCAUUUGAUCCAAUGGGUAAAAAUUAAGUAUGGAAAGCUCAUGCAGUGUAAGAUUGAUCAAACUAGCAAUUCCUUUUUAUGUUUCUGCUUGAAAUUUCGGGGGGGAAUUUUUUUUUUUAAUGUUACAAUUGCAAAAAGUCUUUAAAGAUUGGACUUGAGGAUUAGAAAGCUUCCUUAGAGAAUGAAAUCAGCUGCUAUUCAGGGCUGUUUGUCUUAGACUAAGGUAUUAGCAAGUUUUUAAACUACAAUGCUGUUAAGGAGACUAAAGUGUACAGCUUGAAAGUCUGUUUGCGAAUGCCAUGAAGUCUAACACCUAUGUGCUCCCUCAAGCCAGCUAGUUUUGUUCGACUUACUCCUCCUUUCUUUCCUGUAGCUGUGUGUCUCUGCACUCUUGUAACACACACCGUGCACCCUUAUUUAUGACCAUAGCAACAUAUCAUGGGCAAAGUAUAAAUUAAUAGACCACUUCAAUUUAAGCACAUCAUCAUCAUUUUGCACAGCUUGUAUCACCCCAGAAGCAGAAAACUACUUGGAAUAUCUGAUGCCAUUUAUAACCUACUUUCUGCACAGUUCAGUCCUUUGCUACAGUAUCUACUCAAUCUGUCCCUAAGUCCUGAACCUGCAGCCACUGUUCUUGUCAUCACCAGAACUGAGGAGUGGUUGCAUUCCAUAUUUAUGCCACCCUCUCUGUGCAUAACUAUUUUGUUUUAUAUCUGGAAACUCAUAAUCUUCUUUCUCUGCUACCAGGAAUGAACUUCACACAGUUUUGAAGCAAACAUCUGUUUUCUCUCAAGUACUUGUGAGCAACCAACUAAGUGGUGGGCUGUCAGGACAUUUGUAAGUUUUAAGUAGAUAAUAAAUCGAUGCCAUGUCUUUUAACUCUUUUUUUUUCUUUCCCUCUACCAGAUUUCCUACCCUUGUAUGGGUUACUGCGGGUCCCCUUUUUAUUCCUCUUAGUUUCUCCUCAGUAGCACUCCCUACAUUGCAAUGAUACACCUCAGUGCUGAAAAAAGCAUAUACGGAGAAACGCAGAAUUAAAAUAUUGAAUAAAAUAGCUAGACUGCGUUAUUAUUUAUAUAAUUGCAAUGCUUAUUGUCUUGGGAUAUAAUUCAAAACGGUAAAAUUUCAUCAGGAAAGGCAGGUAGGUGACUUAUCACGACAUAGAUCUGAGUCUGUAUAUCCUUCUGUCUAACUUUCACGUCCAGACUGUGAUUUUGUUCUGUACAGUUGUUCAAUUCAUGUAUUGCUCACACACAAAGCAAUGGUGACAGAUACAACUACUGCCUGACAACUUAUCCCAAGCAUUGAUUUCCUUCUGCAUUAAAAAAGUGUCAUCUGAAUAUCCUCAGGACUUGCUCCUGCUGAAAUUAACGUGACUAGUGGUUGGUCCACAGAAAUUCAUGCCAAUCAAUCACAGUCCUUAAAACAGUUUAAUUUAGAAGGCAUUUCACAAAAGUCUUUUCUCCAAGACUGUCUCUUUCUAACCCCCACCCAGCUGGCAUUCUUUAAUUAAUAGGAUUGAGAGAAUAAAGUAACCAUGUUCAGGAGCGGGGGUUCACCAUGAGAUCAAUUUGCAGAAAAACAAUUAAGAAAAGUUAAAAAGUGGCCACAAAUUAAAAAUGCCAAUAAGCCUUUCUCUGAAAUGUCUCUGGCAGGAUGUUGUGUAGAACACUAAUUUGAAAUAUAGAACUGUGUUUCCUAAGAAGUUUUAAGUAGUAUUUUAUUUCAGGAAACUAUGGGCUUCUCAAGCCUUGGUCUUCCACAGCAGAAAUUUCUCUACUGGCUGCCUCUUACCCCUGAGUUGAAGUAUUUUACAUAUCUGAUCUAUGUUUCUCCCAUCAUUUGCAUGCAGUUCUACUCUGUGCGCCACAGGUCUUAGCUAAGCAGUCACAGAAAACUUUAACACAGGAUUGCUGUGCAAAAAAAGACCAGAUAUGGUUAUUAUUAAGCAAUUACAGGCUUGGACGCCUCAGCCAAUUACCAUGAUCACAACCCUGUUCUGUCUAUUGUAUGCAACCACACCACCUCAAGCUGUGAUCUUGUCAGAGCUCAUAAGCAAAGCGGAGUGGGGCUGGUGAGGCUGCAAGAUGGAUUAACUCUGGAAAUAAGGCAGAAAAAUAACACAAAGUGAAUUGGUAAUUCAGAAGGUAGCAUCUCAUACACUCAGUAUUGCCAGCUUACAGAGUCUUAUGCUGAAGAGUGUGGUUAUGGCAUUUUUCUUGACUCCUGAUUUUCUACACUAAUGAAGAAAAAUAGGUUUUAAUUUAUUUAAGGAGUUUCUAGAUAGAAAAAAGGAAAUUUGAAAUACAUCCCAGCUGUAGAUAUUAGACAGUAAACAAUCCCUUCCUACAUUACUCUUUUAAAUACUCUCACAGGCUUGCUGAUUUACUCAUGAGCUUUGAAUACCUGGACAAAAAUGGAGCACUCUGCAGCAUUAUCCCUCUGGUGAGACGCAGAGCCACGGUGCACACCGCCAUUGUGCUAUCUGCAUUUCUGACCUUAGAUUCCCCACUUCUGGCAGGAGUGAAACACCUGACCAUCCUGUGUUUCAGGAGGACCUUGGGCAACAGCCUCGCCUGUGCCGAAUUGAAAGGCUGAAUUGCUACAAUGAGAUCCUAAGAGUUUUGUAUUUGGCAUGUGGCAGAUUCUCCCUUUGCCAAAUGUAAACACAUCACGCUAUCUGUGAAGACUUCCUUGCAGUUUUGGCAGAAAAGAAAAGAUGAGUCUGAGCUGGAGGUGAGGGAUAUACGUGGUUAUUGCACAUAGUGGCAGAAGCAGACCAGGAAGGCUCUGUUAAUUACAAAGAUUUUCUCUCCCCGCCCUAUGCAAUCUGAAUUACGUUAGGUCUUCUCCAACCCCUGGACAGCCAAGCCCUAUAAAGGAAAGAAGAUGUCAAGCACAGACAUUAGCUUUGUGAACAGCUGCAAUGGUUCAAAAAGUUAUUAACCCAUAAGCAUUUCUCGCAGCCUCUCUUCUGGGGUUACGUACUUCCCAAGCUCUUCUGUUGAACAGAUGGGAUCACACAAGCAUUCUCUUUGGAGCAGCUAAGGAGGUGAUCUGAGUUAAUUUGGCUGAUUCUGCCUGAAUUGGAUGACGAACAAUUCACCUCUCAUUCCACCAGAGCUGGAAAACCCGUGAGCUCCAGCUGGUGCAUCUGCUCAGGUCUACGGCUCCAGCUAGCUCUGCAGGGACAGGUCGGCUUUGGGCUUUAAAAUGCAGUCACAGAAUCACAGGUCAGUCCACAAAUUACCCCAGGACAUUAGCAAAGCAGAGUUAAACCUUGAUUUUGUUAAUCAGAGAUCAUUAUCUUAGCUCAAACACUGCACUGAGAAAGGUCAUCAUUUAACUGUUAACACUUUUGUCGUUUGCAUCUGUCCCUUGAGUUCCCCUGUUUCAUACAUACAAUUACGUUUCAUAUAUAUAUAAUUGAUUUUGAAUCUCCCUCUGAAUGACAGAGGAUAUUGCCUUCCUCUUAGACUGUCAGUCAUAUUAAAAUUAGCUCAUCUUAAAAACAUCAACACUUGCAUGAAAAAUAUGUUUUAAAUAUAACUGUAAUUGCUUACUGCAAUGAACUAAAACAUUUAGCUAAUGAAAGCUUAUCCAAGACUACCAGACUAGUAAAUAUGGUGUAGAAUUACUUAAACCUUUGGAAGCAUCUUAAGCCAUUAAAAGCUACACGUUGUUACAAAGCAUUGUUCUGCUUGGAUUUUAUACACGUCUAUGACUGAGUGUAUUGACCUGUAGGUAAUACCUCUUCAUACCUAAAGCCUAUCCACCUAUUUUUCAGGCAUAGUUAACUUUAAGUAGCCUUAUAAUAGAUAAGGGCUACCAAAUUCUUCAUGAAAAGAAUAAAACGUAUUUCAUUCCUAUAAAAAGAUAUAAGCUUGGCUUUUCUUCCUUUUGUGUUCAUACUGAUGAUGAAAGCGACUUCAGCCAGGACGUAAGGUGUUUGACUGGAGAAGCAGACGUAUUUCUGUUCACAGCUGUGCUAAGCAGAACAGUGCCAUCUAGUCACCUGCAAGCCGGCGAUUCCUGGUGCAGUUGUGUGACCUGUCAGGGAGCGGGCCGUCGUUCCCCACAGGGUCAGUUCAGUACUGUUAUGACUUGGUUUUAUGGAGGACUUCUCUUAAACUGCUUCUAUAUCAUCAGUAAUCAGGUUGUUUCAGACUAAUUUUUUUUCACACUGUUUGUUGAACACCCUGACCACAAAGGAAAUAGAGCUGAAAAACUAUUCACAGAGUUUUGAAGGGGUGAUUGUGGUUAUAGUCAAGCAUCAUCAUGGACCUGCCACCGUGACAACACAAAGUAGAUUUGCUCCUAUGAGCUUAUAUAAAAUCCCAUUUUUUUUCCCCACCUUAUGGAUAAAUUGCAUUCAUUUAGUUAGGAGAGAGCAGUCCCACACAAAACAAUGUAUUAUCCCAGUACAGAAAUUAAGAAUACAUUACUUAGGAAACCCUUAGACGAAGGCAGUUCUCCUGCUGCAUGACGUAACUGCUUUUCAGUUUUGCUACCUUACUCUUAUUUCUUUAUCUUGUAGAUUUAAUUAAGUCAUCCAAUAUUGAAUUUGAUGAAUAUUUUAAUGGACCUUUCCUGGGUAAGUUUUAGAGAGUACUAAGCAAAUCUGAACAGGUAACUUUAAAAGGUCAGAGUAGACAUAUCUGUGAAAAAGCCCGAAAUCUGGAAUCACUCCUGUUGACAUGUGACCUAUUUUUAGAAGGUGCAAUACAUAAUAACAAGACUUAAUAUAUAAUUUGUGUUGAGGAAGGGAUCCUGUGAUUAAGUGACAACACUUCAUUUUUCCUCGGCUAAAGAUGUACAUGGUAGGAAAUAAAUGGUCCUUGCAUAUUGUAAAACCAUGUUCAGCCCAGAACCACGUUAUGCAGAUUAAAACGAAAGCUACAAUGCACAGGCUGAUUCCUGCUCUCCUUUGAUCUGGUUUAAGUUCAGAGAGUCUACUGGGACCAUUAAAUUCAGCAACAAAGGAAUUAGGGCUCAGAUCUUGAAACAUUUAUAUUACUUCCAUCACCAUGGUGCUCAGGAUCCUGAAGACCUGGUUCAGACCUGCUUAUCCCAACAAACAAAGCACAUUAAAGGUGGCCUCUCAAGUGUGACAUAAGAAGUAGCAGAUUUGACCCUGGCAGGGCAGUGGCAACAGCCAGUGCUGCCCGCCAUUACUGGAGAUGUCCGUCGGCACUUUCAUGCAAGUCUUGGGGGGAGACAACCCAAAGGUGCCUCCUUGAAAAUUUAGCAAGUGCAUGGUGGAAGCUGGUGGUAUGGGAAAACAAAGUUGUUAGUUAACUCCUGACACUGAGUAAGAGGUUCAUGUGGAAUAGACAGAGGCUGGGAGGAAUUCAGGACACAUGAUGCAUAGCUGGAGAGCAGCAAAAGGAGAGUCUGUGAAGAGACAGAGAGGAAAGCGACGCUGCUGUAGCCACAAGCCAGGAAGGUGCUCCUUGAAUAUGAAUUUUGAUAGGUACAAUUGGGCAAGAUGGCACAUGUCAAAAUCAGCAUUAAACAUGUCACAGCAAUCAAAUAUUGAGAUCAUAAGAAUCUAGCUGCGGGGUAGUAAGAAAGAUCGUAAUUUAGAAAUAUUAUUUAGGAAAAUUGUUGGCAUUUCAGAGUUCUUGCCAAAGGCCCCGGCUGUGCUAUGAGCUUGACUGAUAGGCAAGAUGGAGGUGGUUUCCAUGGUGAUGACCAAAGGUGGAGGAGACAUAAACAUAGACAGGACCAACUACCACAUUAACAAACUAAAGGGCAGGCAAAGCAGGAGGGAUAAGAGCUGAUGAGAAGUCAUUAAGGCUCACAGAUUUAAAGUCAUAGAGAGGUUGAACAGAAAAAGUUGAUGAGCCCAGGACGGGCAGCCACACUGAGAAGAUGCGAGAGACUGAAGACGAUCCUGUAAUGAGGAGGUCAGAGCAGAGCAGCACUUCCUGAGAAUGAAGGCAACUGCGUGGCCCCCACAGCAGCUGAGAAAUUUGUAGUCAAAACUGUGGGCUAAGCAAGGAUCUGAGGGUAGAGCAACGAGUAUGGAGGAGUCAAAUGAGUGACAGAAAGCCCUGUAAUCACCCAGGGUGAAUUUGUCAGAUUUUUAAAGGGGGUGCAAAACAGUAUCGAGACUGUGGUAAGCUCCUGAGGUUCAUUGAGGGGUGUGGGCUGGUUCUUAAUUAAAAUAGGGAGAACUUUAAUCAACUAGCUGACAAUCUAUGGUAUUCCUUCUAAUGGACUGGUAGACAUGGUGGGAAAGUCCCUGGGUAUCAGCUAAUAGUUGGCAGGCAGGUAGGGCAAAGCGGGUGCCUGGGAGUGAAGUGCCUGAGAGUGGAGCAUCUAGUCAGGUGAGACCAUUCUGACAUUUCUGCUCAAGUAGAGAUGCUACAGCAGAAAUAAUAGAAAGGAUUUUAAAAGAAGUUUCCACUGAGACUCUGGAGAGACCAAAACACUCUCCAUACAUGCAUGAAGCUCCUCUCUGAAGGCCUCAGAUCCAGAAGCAAACAGAAUGGCAGCCCGGCACCCCGUGCAGGACUGGUGGGUGGAUAACCGCCAUUGGCUGCAAUAGGACUUUCUUGGCCGGGCUAUGAAAAUGCAAAUUUUCUAGAAUUCGUUUUUUUUCCUGUGUGUCUCCAGAAGGUGCGAGAUUCUUUAGGAUUAAGCUGAAAGGGUAAAAAGAAAUAAAAUCUGCCUUAGUCUCUGUGAAGACGAUAUAACUAAAGAGCUAUGUCUCUCCUGUGCAUGACAGGGAAACAGACAAUAGCAAUAGCAGUAGUAAUGAUAAAGUAUGGGUAGAUUAGUUGUAUAGAUAUAUCUACCCAGCUAUGUAUAAUAUAUGAAUCUUGAGAUUAUACAGUCCUAUGCUUAUACAGGACCAACUCAUCAGCUAGUGCAAUUCUAUUAACAUCCAUCAAGCAACAUGUAAUUAUAUGCAGAGUGUAUGACACUUACGCUUAGUUUUUUAUUGCCCAUUUUGAGGUGAGGAAUCUGUUCUUCUUAGCAGGGACUCUCAUUCCAUUCAGGAAAACAAGUAAAGAAUGGCACUGAUAAGUCACUAAUAUUAAUGAAAACUGCCUGUGUGGAUUCCCAAUUCAUAAAAUACUUCUGUAGCAUCAACUCUUUAACUCAGUGGUAUUUUCUCUGUAAUCCAUUACAUUGUGUGAUCUCAACAUAUGUUUUGUUAGCAAAGGUACACGGAAUUAUUGUAAAGCAUAGCAACACGGGUGUGUUACAGUUGUAAUUUUGUUUUGCAUUUAGACAGAAGUUCGUUUGUUUUACACUGUCUUACACUGGGGGAAAAACUAUUAAAAAUUAUAUUUUCAGCUCUAUAUUUUUCCUGGUAUGUUUUCUUUGCAGAUGGUGAAAAUAUCUCUCACAAAGAUUUAGUAGCAGCUAAAGGUUAGAAAAAUUCUUAGUGCUGAGAUAGGCCGAGCAUAAUCAAAAGUCAGGAGGCAUGGUGAAAGAUCUGAGCCUUAGCAGCUGUACUGUAAGGCUGUAGCGUGGUAGCUUUGCCUAGUAUGGCAACCUGAAGACUUUACAUCAGGGGAAACCUGAUCCAUGUCACUCCUCUGUGCACUCUGGUUUUCUCGGAAAGGAAAGAGAUUGGCCAGGCAGGGCUCUCCAGUGGGUCCCUCUUGGCAUCUAGGUACCUGUGUAACAGGGACCUCUGUGGGUGCACAGUUCACGGUGGAGACGUGUUCAGCAAGAGUUUACGCUGGCCAAUAACCUGUCAACAUUACUUCGUCUUACAAACCUGUGGCCUUAGCUCUAAUUAGGUAAUACUUCUUGUUCUGCUCUGUAAGUUAGUGGUCUCUUGCCAGAUUAUUUCUGCAAUAUUCUUUAUUGCUUUGUUUUCUUGUUGCAUUAUUAUUUAUAGUCAUGAUCUUACUAGUUAUAGUGAGUUCAAAUGGAAAAAUCUAAGGACCACAGAGGUGAUACCAGAAAAAGUGCUAAAAAUUUAAUGAGUAGCCAUGUUCUGUACUGAACCAGUGCCCUGGCAUGGGCUUGCCUCCUGGAAAUGCUUCCUCUUCAAUUAUAGGUUAAGUUUAAAGUUUACUACUUGCAAGAACAGAGCUCUACAAGCCUUCCCCAAUUUAGUCUGAAAGAAUGUGUAUGCCUUUGAUUUCAGAUAUGCAGGCUUAAAGGUGAGCGAUGAUCUUGCACUAAGAAACGGGGGUGAAGCAGGCAGACCUGGUUUCAUUUCCUGCCUGUGCCACAGACUUCCUGUGUAACCCAAGAUAAGCUACUAAGUUCUUUGUUCAUUAUUCCAUGCUCUGUAAAACUGGGAUAAUAAUGUUUCCUUUCCCAUUGUAUGCACUUAUUCUUGCCUAAUAAAAUAUUAUGCUUUCUUGCUAAAUGUA